rnacentral:lncRNA from 1 species
CCGACCUUGAGAAGGAAAUUCACUGAGCCAUUCCUUACGAGUGUUCCCAGGAGAAACAGGAAAGUGAGAAGUCAAGUCGGUCCAAGAAGAAUAAAGAGGCCAAGCCCAGUUGCAUAUCAGCAAUCUCACAGAGAGAGCUGCCUCAGUCCCUCGAGGCACAGUGACCCAUGAUAUUCAAGGUGGUGGCUCCUUUGUCAGAUGAAUUCCUGAGUGACCAUAAGCAGAGAUCUCCUAACGACCCAUGAUGGGUAGUGUGAGCAAGUAUGAACCAUCUAGUGGAGCAAGAAAUAGUGCCUAUAUAAGCACUGAGAUUUGAGG